rnacentral:rRNA from 1 species
CGAGGGAGAAAUUCAUUCGUAUGACGCGUUCGGCGUUUAGUCAAUGUUAUGAACGUUAAAACGAGAGAUUCGUUCUCUCGAUAAAAUGCCAUCAUUAUUAAACGAUCCGAAUGCGAACGCGUGCACUUUUCUCCUUGUAGGACGUCGCGAUCCGUUGAUCCGUACGGUCUUAUGGACUAAUCGUUAAAGUGUAAUGAUGCGUUAGAUUUAACAAAAUCGAACGUUUUCAUCAUUAAAGCGUGUUAGUUACUGACCGGCUCGUUCGACGGUAUAUUGUUAUAUGGUAUAAGGCCGCCACGUUUGUUUUGGCGUUAGAUCCUGAACAAGUGCUUCAGUAGAGAAACGGUAAUUGGAAUAUUUUUCGAUUCCGUACCUCUAAAGUGCUGUUGGUACAGGUUAAAAAUUAUAAAUCUAACAGACCUCUAUUACCGAUCGGCGACGCUAUAGCUUUGGGUAAUUUCAGGACCCGUCUUGAAACACGGACCAAGGAGUCUAGCAUAUGCGCGAGUCAUUGGGUAAAAAUGUAUAUACCUAAAGGCGCAAUGAAAGUAAAAUAUUUUCGUGUUGUUGUUUGUUGUUGUUGUUGUUGUUGUUAUUGUUCCGAUGAUGAUGAUGAUGAUGAUUAAUGAUAAUACACACGCGAAAUAUAUAGGGAAGAUGAAUAUAAAGUUUUCUUGGACGCGAUGUCAUUUUUUAAUGGCUCCGUUAAUAUAUAUCAAAAAUAUAAAAGAAAUACAUUCCGCAUUCCCGGGGCGUUUAAUUCACGUACGGCAUUCGCGUGUCGUACGAGUAUAGGCGCACCAAGAGCGUAUACGCUGGGACCCGAAAGAUGGUGAACUAUGCCUGGUCAGGACGAAGUCAGGGGAAACCCUGAUGGAGGUCCGCAGCGAUUCUGACGUGCAAAUCGAUCGUCGGAACUGGGUAUAGGGGCGAAAGACUAA